rnacentral:lncRNA from 1 species
CUUCCACCUUACCCUGAUCUCCUUCUCCUUACUGCCCCAAACACUCCCUAAUCCCUGGAUCCCACCCAGCCUCCCAGGCCAUUGCUGACUCAGCCCCUGUCUUGCAGGCUCUCCAAGUGGCCCGGCAGUUCCUGCUGCAGCAGGCCUCAGGCCUGAGCUCCCCAGGGAACAAUGACAGCAAACAGUCUGCCUCUGCUGUGCAGGUGCCUGUGUCGGUGGCCAUGAUGUCGCCGCAGAUGCUUACCCCGCAACAGAUGCAGCAGAUCCUAUCGCCCCCGCAGCUGCAGGCCUUGCUCCAGCAGCAGCAAGCCCUCAUGCUCCAGCAGCUGCAGGAGUACUACAAGAAGCAGCAGGAGCAGCUCCACCUGCAGCUCCUCACCCAGCAGCAGGCUGG